UAACUCUGAAUUAUCAAAGAUUGACUUAAAUGUGGAAAAUGAGGCAAAUGUUGGCUUAUUCAAUUUUUCCUCUAAAUAAUGAAUAUCAAUUUGAGAUUAGACAAAACUUCCUCCAACACCACCUGUGAACUCUAAACCCUUUCACCAUAGCAGUAGCAGUUUAUGAGCUAAAAUAAUUUUCCAAAAUCAUCUCAGUGUCUGCUUGUUGGCGGUUUCGAACUUGCGUCGUCUAUAUCUCCGGCGACUGGCUAGCCGUUGAUGUCAGCAAGUCAACGGGUCAGACUUAUUCCCCCUCUUACUCUAUCUUCCUCACUUCCUCUUCCACUUCAGUUUAAAUCUUAAUAUGUGUGAAUUCGGAUUAUUUUCGAUGAUCAUAUUUGUAAGUUUGCUCUAAAUAUCAACUGCUAAAAUGGUUUAUUAAUUACUAUUACUGUCUUUAUUUGAUUUGUUAAAUAAUAAUUACUAUCCGUCUAUCCCCUUCUGGGUUUUGUUAAUUCCCAUAAUAUGCAUAGAUAAUUUGUUUUACUUUCUGGAGCUGAAGUUAAUAAUAGUACACUUUGGCUUUAUCUUGAUUGCUAAUUUUAUGGGUUGCUUAGUUUGUGUUUGGACGAAGUCAUUAGUUAGGAAACCUCGAAAUAGGGUAUAUGUAGACUUAUCAAUUCCUUUAAUUGCAAAACUUAGAUGGUGCACACGCUAGUACAUAAAGCAUGGUACACACGCUAGUAGGAGCCAUAUUGGGUCACGUGACCCCGCAAAUUAAAAAAAAAAUUAAAGAUUUUUCAGGAAAAAAAAAUAAAAAAAAGAAAAUAGUGAAGCGCAGCAGUGCAGCAUUAAACGACUAAAAUGUCAAUUUCUGCUUCUUGUCUUUUUGGUCCACUUUCAUAUACUCCAUCUGUCCCAUAUUAUAGUGCUUCUUUCCUUUUAAGGUGUCCCAAAAAUAUAAUUCUUGUUUCCAUUUUUUAUUCCACACAUUUCUAUGAUUUUCCUAGAAAAAUUGUGCCACCAUUAUUUAUUUGCUUGUUGAAAAUAGUUUUUUUGCUUUGUUUAUUCAACUCAAAGGUUGAAUGAGUCAUGCAUUUAAUUCUCUUUCACCACUUAUGGUCAUUCUCUCUCCUGAAAUCAACUUUUCCCCAUAACAUUUAUUUUCAAUACACAAACACUCUUUACAUUUCUCUUAGAUUCUAUUUACCUUAAUAAACGUAAAAAAAAUAGAAUCAGACACUAGAAUAUAAGACAGAGGGAGUAUUAAUUAUUGUGGUCCCCAAUUUCCCAACUCCUAAUUUUUAUCAGAUUUUAAAUUAUAUUAAAAAUUAAAAACCAUUUAAUUUUGAAAACAUAAUUGCUAUAUACAGCAAAGGAAAAGGCUAAAUACAACAUCUAAAAUUAUGGCUAACUUAACCAUGGUUAAUUAAAUUUUUUUUUAAUAAUAUAAUUACACAAUUAUUACUCACCUCAUACCAAAUUUGAGAAUAUAAUUUCACUCACCACAAACACUUUUUCCUUUACCGCGUAAGUAAUAUUUUAUAUUUUUCGGGUUGCGAUUAUGGAAAUGAGGUCAUUUAUCAUAGAUGACCCCCCAAAGCGGGGUCAUUUGUCAUAGAUGACCCUCCCUUAGGGGGGUCAUUUGUCAGAUGAUCCCCCAAGAAUAGGUUAGUCUUUUAAUAUGUUUUGCUGUAUUUAACCUUUUUUUUUUUUUUUUUUUUUUUUUUUGGUUAUAGCACAUCCCUUUGAAAACUAACAAUUUCUCAAUCCUUCCUUACCCAAUUCUCACGCUUAAUUUUUUUUUUACCUCACUCUCACUGUCUCACUGAGUCGCUGCCCACUGCCCACUGCCCAGACGCCCAGACCUCGCCGCCGUCCGCCGCACUGCACCGCACCGGCACCGCGGCCUCCUCCGACCUCUGACCAGCCCGCAGCCGGUAGCCAUCGCCCAUCAGAAUGAGGAGGAUAAUAGAGGGAUAUUUCGAGUGUUCUUUCGAAAGGAUACAUACUCUACUCUCUAAUGGUUGGUAGUACUCUUAUUUAAAAUCUUGGAAGCGCCAUUAUUUGCAAGUAAUGCUUCAAUUCCACCCAUUCUAUUCUUUGCCGCGAUUUGUACCUGUAAUCCCAACAAAGUUCUCCAACCAGCUGAGUUUCGAGCAGCACUACCGCCAUCUUUGUGACCUUUUUGUUACUUUUACACGCUCUCGGGCACUCUUAAAAGGCCUCCAACUCCAUGCUCAUGUCUUCAAAUUAGGAUUCCAAUCUAUUCCUCUUGUUGCCCAUCACUUGAUCAACUUCUAUUCGAAAUCUCAGCUUCCCGCUUUUUCCCGCCAAAUCUUUGACGAAACGCCUGUCAAAGUUUCUAGUACCUGGAACUCGGUUAUCUCUGCUCUUUCCCAAAAUGAACUCCCUUAUGUUGCUCUUGAGCUGUUCCAUCAAAUGCUGGAAAACGAGUUUCGGCCUGAUGACCAUACAUACCCAAGUGCGAUAAAGUCAUGUGCGAUUUUGGGGAGGGUUGAUGUUGGAAGAUUGAUUCAUGGUGUUGUGGUGAAAACUGGGUAUGAGAGGGAUUUGUUUGUAGCAAGCUCAAUGGUGGAUAUGUACGGGAAAUGUGGGGAGAUUUGGGAUGCACGGAAAAUAUUUGACGAAAUGCCUCAUAGAAAUGUAGUGUCUUGGACUGGAAUGAUUUUUGGAUAUGCGCAAUUGGGUGAAAAUGAGGAAGCCCUCAGGUUGUUUAGGUUUGCUCUAGAGGAGGGUGUAGAUGUUAAUGAUUUUACGUUCUCGAGUGUGCUUCAUGUAUGUGGUAAUGUGACACUUUUGGAAUUGGGGAAGCAAAUUCAUGGCUUGUGCUUAAAGAAGAGUUAUCAUACAUCAAGUUUCGUUGGGAGUGGCUUGAUCUCGUUGUACUCUAAGUGUGGGAUCAUAGAAGGCGCGUAUCAUGCAUUUGAUGAAGUGAAGAUAAAGAAUGUUGGGAUGUGGAAUUCUAUGUUGAUUGCUUGCGCUCAACAUGCUCAUACUUCAAAGGUGCUGGAAAUGUUCCAUAGUAUGGAAACUGAUGGAACUAAACCCAACUUCAUCACCUUCUUGUCUUUGCUUUAUGCCUGCAGUCAUUCUGGAUUGGUUAAACAAGGGCGGUUUUACUUUGACCUUAUGAAAAAGUACGGAGUUGAACCAGGACACCAACAUUAUGCCACCUUAGUUGAUUUACUAGGCCGUGCUGGGAAGUUGGAAGAGGCAUUUGCAGUUAUUAAGGAGAUGCCCAUUGAACCAACUGAGUCAGUUUGGGGUGCUUUAUUGACUGGUUGCCGACUACAUGGCAAAACGGAAUUAGCAGCCUAUGCUGCUGACAAGGUUUUGGAGUUAGGAAAUGUGGGUUCUGGCAUAUUUGUGUUAUUAUCUAAUGCUUAUGCAGCAGCUGGAAGACUCCAAGACGCAGCUAAUGUUAGGAAGAUGUUAAGGGAUAAAGGGAUAAAGAAGGAAACAGGCUUAAGCUGGGUUGAGGAAGGAAACAGAAUUCAUGCUUUUGCUGCUGGGGACAGAUGUCAUCCGAAAUCCAAGCAGAUAUAUGAGAAAUUGGAGGAAUUGGAGGAUGAGUUGGAGCGAGCUGGGUAUGUUGCUGACACUAGUUUUGUUUUGCAACCAGUGGAUGAUGAUGCUAAAAAACAAGCAAUUAGGUAUCAUAGCGAGAGACUAGCAAUCGCUUUUGCGUUAAUCAGCUUCACACGUGACAGGCCUAUUCGGAUUAUGAAAAACUUGCGUGUAUGUGGUGAUUGUCACACUGCUAUCAAGUUUAUGUCCAAGUGCACUGGAAGAACAAUUAUUGUGAGAGACAAUAGCAGAUUUCAUAGGUUUGAGGAUGGGAAAUGCUCAUGUGGGGACUACUGGUCUGCGGUCCCUCUUUGUAUCUCCCUCCUUUUCAACAUCUUUUCCCUCGCUACUGGCCUCAUCCUCACUUCCUGAAACCAUGUUUAAUAUCAUUGAGGGAAUCAGAUAGACAUUGAUGAUGACUGCCUCUCAUCAACGAGAUUUGCAUGUGGGUGCAAAUUAAUUUUUCUAGGUGAACGCAUUCAAGAAAGCAGCAUUAGAUAACUUUGUUUGUACGAUUGUUUGGGAAAGAUCUCCUCUUGCUUGUUUCCAUGAAGCUU